GGCAUUUUUAUUGCUGCUGUUGCAAUAAUUAUCACAGUUCAUGGAAACGUGACUCUCUUCUCCUCAGGUACUCGAUCAGUGAUCCCGACAGCACCCUCCUGGUCCUGCAAAGCUCGGGAGGGCGGGGGAGCCGGGGCCAAGUGAGCUGCAUCAGGCCCAUGCUCUGCUCAGAGCCUCUAUGUUGCCAAAACAGCCCCAGCGCCGCGGGACUAAUGCCCAGGAGUGGACGUGUCUAUGAGGAUGGAGGAAGAUGUUGCAGUCAGAGGUUGCACAAGUCACUGCCCCAAAGCAGGCUCGGCUUUCCAGGCUGGUGCUCGCCCGUUCCAGCGGAGCAGCUGCAGGAGGGAUCACCCCGAGAGCCCGGGCGUCGCGCCUGCCAGCCUCUGCCUAAUAGGCGCCUCGGAAGUGCACCCUGGGAGCCGUGCAUCCUUCCUGAGCAGCAGCUGUUUCUCUCCAGUGGUCGUUGCUUUGAAGUCGUACCUGUCCACAGAUUAAAGGUCCUUGGCAGAUGGUCCUGGGAAUGGCAAGGAACACGUAGCAAAGGUACAGAGUGACACCGACAGACAGAGACGCGUUUGGGAGGAGGCAACAGCACAGCAGUUUGGUUUCAGAAAAGACUCACUCUCCAUUUCCAGUCUCUGAACCAUAAAGUACCAGCUUUUCCAGAACAAUGAAUCACCCAGUCUGUGUAUAAAAUUAAAUAUAAUUUAUGCUUUGCUAAUUGAAAUCAAAUACAAAAUUCAAUUUCCUGUGUAUUCUAAUGCUGACAUUUGAAUAGUUUAAAAAAAAAGUGUUAUUAACCUGACUCUCAUUUGGCAGGCCACUCUCCGGCCAGAUAGAAAAUAAUUCCCCUGUCAAGCCCCUGCAUUAGCAUGGCAGACUCGGGAUGCAUUUCAGAAAAAGAGAAAACAGAAUAACCCCCCCGAGGCCCCCUGGGUGCCGCCCGUGCCCCCAGCCCGUGCCAGGGUGACUGACACAUCCCCGCUCCCUUCCCACCGGUGGCACCUGGGGGUCCCGGGAGCCCCGUCCCUCCGUGCCGGGUGGUCGGUGUCCGUGGGGCAGCUGCGCAGGGGAGGAAGAGCGGGGCCUCCUCUCCUCAUGGGCGCUCGGCGGCUCCUCCCAAACUGAUAUAAAAAAUAAACCUCUGAAUAUAUGGCAGAAAGAACGGGAGCGGGAGGUGGGGGCAGGCGGGUGAAGCAGGGGCAGGCCCAGCACCUCCCCGGCCCGGCCGUGUCUGUAAACCAUCGGGGGGUCCCUGGUGGGGCCCGGCUGCGCCCUGCUCCGGACCCCUGCCCCAGGCACCACUGGGCUUCCGACCACUGCAGGAUGGAUGCUCCAGCCCAGCCCAGCUGCACGCCCUGACUUCCCUAACGGCGUGCUCAUCGGGUUGUAAUUCUCAGACAAACACAUUUUUGAUGCCCUGUCCCUCCAGCGAGGGGCACGACAAGAAGAGUGGCAGGGCCGUGAGGGCAGUCAGGGACGGGACGAGCUGCCCCGGGGCAGCGCUCGCUCCUGGCCAGGCCAAGGCUGGAGCGGGCAGGGAGACCCUCUGGGAGGGGAUGGGGGGUCUCAGGGGCUCUUUCACGCUCAACUGCUCCUGGUUAAGCUGUGGGUGAAGACUGAGAGAAUCCAAGCUCUGGCCACGGAGGCGAUGGGCAGGGCCACACUGGUGGCCACAGCCAGCCUGCCGGCUCCUGGCCAUGCUGCGAGCUGGGAUGGCAUCCCCCCGGUGCCAAGCCCCUCCACAGGCACCCAGGGCCACCGGUCCUGCUUCUGCAGGCUCUGCUCAGCCCCAUCAGGGCCAGACCCCCGCGGUGUCGGGGCUGCAGCACGCUGGGAAUGGGCAAAAAUUUCUGGGUAUCCCUCCACGGAGGAGCCCGGACACUGGGUCUCGAUGAGCCCCUCGUCCUCCAACUGAAUCCAUCGAGCAGCUUGCACCAAACUGUAAUAACAGUUUUCACUUAGGAGCUGAUCUGAGAUUUUACUAACGUGUGAAACAUUGUAAAAUUAUUCCUAUUACAUACUUCCAAUUUUCAUGUAAUAAUUUGGGGAUUUGUGGGUCUGUGAAAAUCUGUGUUGUGUCGAGAGCUGUUUUUAAAUCUAAUCAGGCUAAUAGGAACUGACAUGACGUUAGCAGAGACCUUGCGGUGCCCCUCCAGCAUGGCCCAUGAUGUAAAUUUUCUAAAUGGCUUCAGCUCUUUUUUCAUCCAAUCCAAGGCACCAGCACCACUUCAUGGCAUAAUGAACCACACGACAGGCCAUGAAACCCAAAGCAGGUUCAGCUUGUUACCCAACGUAACAGUGAUUUCAUUUGGUUAGCUGGAUCAGUAGGGAUUUCUUGCCACCUUAAUCAAAACUGAGCCUUGGUCCUCCCAGAGAUCUCACACAGCAUCUCUGCUGCUUUCCGACAGGCGGGGACCUGCCCCCGGGUGGGCACUCGCACCAGCUCCGCUCCACCGGCACGCAGCCUUACCACUCACUGAAACAAAGAACACGGCCAGCAAGAUUUGAGUGCCCUUAGAAAUCACCCAUGCGGAGGGAGCAUUUCAGCAAGAGUAGCUCUGCAUUUUUCCUUUUGUUCCCUCGCUUACUGUUUUCCUCUCAGUAAUGGAGAUGGAAACAGGGCAGCUGUGCCGGAGUGCUGCUGGGCGGCUCCGCUGCUUCCCGCACGCAGCUCUCAUCGCACUGCUGGAGCUUCCAGGUGGGAUAGGGGUUUAUUCUACAGGUUCUACCAGGAUUUACAACUGUGGUCGAUGUGGUCAUUUCCACUAGAAAGCACACAUUCUUUGCGCAGAGCAGUGCUCACACUGGGAAUUAAUCACUUUUUUGUAAUUCUGAAGUAAAGAUGAAGGCUGCUCCCCAUUUUGCAAACCCGGCUCUCAACCCCACGCGGCAGAGCUCUUGUUCUCAAGGUGUGAAUGAAGGGCAGUGCCAGGGACCCCAAGGCUCAGUGCUGCCCAGACCCCCCGCUGGGGCUGUCCCCCCACCCUGCCCUGCAGUCACCCCCUCAGUUCCCUCCAAAGCACGAGCAGGGCACAGCGUGGCCUCGCCGGGAGGUGCUGCGUGGGCUCCACACUGUGCCUUGACGGCCUGGCCGGGCGGGGAGACCCCGGCUGGCUCCGAGCGGGCGCCUGGCACGGUCCUCAGCUUCCAGGAGGAGCCGGGGGUCUGCGGGAGGCCCCGGUUCCGAUCUCACUGAGCAUCCCAGCAAAGCAGGAAGGACUCUCUUCCAACAGUGGAGAUGACACACCCACCAGUUGGAGGAGAAUCGGGCCCAGGUGUUUUGUGGCACUUGGUAAAUACGAGUUUUAGUGCAACAGGUAAUUGAAACAUCUGGUGCAAAUGAAGUUUCUGUACAUAGUUCCUUUGCAGCAUAACUGGCUUUAUUCCUUCCACACACAAAUACCAGUGUGCAUCUGAAUGCACAUGUCCUGAAUUUACCAGAUCUGAUGCUGCUGUUUGGGCAAAACUAAAAGCCAGGGCAGGAGAAAUCACACCUAUGGGUUUGUCCCAGUGCUGCUGGGUUUUGCGAGCCACCCUGUGCCCAGAUGGCUGCGGCAGGAGGUGCUGGCCCUGCCUGCGGGGUUGUGUGGGGGACACCAGCAGCAAAGUGUCAAGAUGAAGCAUCCCAUCGCCCUGAGGAGCCCCGCUCCCUCUGCCUCCUCCUCCUCCUCCUCCCAC
rnacentral:lncRNA from 1 species